rnacentral:rRNA from 1 species
GUCGAGAAUCUUCCGCAAUGCGCGAAAGCGUGACGGAGCGACACCGCGUGAUGGAUGAAGUCCUUCGGGGCGUAAACAUCUUUUAUAAAGGAGGAAAUUUUUGACGUUACUUUAUGAAUAAGGGGCUCCCAAUCUCGUGCCAGCAGGAGCGGUAAUACGAGAGCCUCAAGCGUUAUCCGGAAUCAUUGGGCGUAAAGGGUGCGUAGGUGGUUUGAUUAGUCUCCCGUUAAAACUUCGAGCUUAACUCGAAAAGAGCGGGGGAAACGGUCAAACUAGAGUAUGUGAGAGGUGUGUGGAACUCAUGGUGUAGGGGUGAAAUCCGUUGAUAUCAUGGGGAACACCAAAAGCGAAGGCAGCACACUGGCACAUCACUGACACUGAGGCACGAAACCUAAGGUAGCGAAUGGGAUUAGAUACCCGGGUAGUCC